rnacentral:rRNA from 1 species
AUUGACUAAGGUUUCCAGAGGAAGGCUCGUCCGCUCUGGGUUAGUCGGGUCCUAAGCUGAGGCCGACAGGCGUAGGCGAUGGAUAACAGGUUGAUAUUCCUGUACCACCUAUAAUCGUUUUAAUCGAUGGGGGGACGCAGUAGGAUAGGCGAAGCGUGCGAUUGGAUUGCACGUCUAAGCAGUAAGGCUGAGUAUUAGGCAAAUCCGGUACUCGUUAAGGCUGAGCUGUGAUGGGGAGAAGACAUUGUGUCUUCGAGUCGUUGAUUUCACACUGCCGAGAAAAGCCUCUAGAUAGAAAAUAGGUGCCCGUACCGCAAACCGACACAGGUAGUCAAGAUGAGAAUUCUAAGGUGAGCGAGCGAACUCUCGUUAAGGAACUCGGCAAAAUGACCCCGUAACUUCGGGAGAAGGGGUGCUCUUUAGGGUUAACGCCCAGAAGAGCCGCAGUGAAUAGGCCCAAGCGACUGUUUAUCAAAAACACAGGUCUCUGCUAAACCGUAAGGUGAUGUAUAGGGGCUGACGCCUGCCCGGUGCUGGAAGGUUAAGAGGAGUGGUUAGCUUCUGCGAAGCUACGAAUCGAAGCCCCAGUAAACGGCGGCCGUAACUAUAACGGUCCUAAGGUAGCGAAAUUCCUUGUCGGGUAAGUUCCGACCCGCACGAAAGGCGUAACGAUUUGGGCACUGUCUCAACGAGAGACUCGGUGAAAUCAUAGUACCUGUGAAGAUGCAGGUUACCCGCGACAGGACGGAAAGACCCCGUGGAGCUUUACUGUAGCCUGAUAUUGAAAUUCGGCACAGCUUGUACAGGAUAG